AGAACUUCUCUGAUGUAUUUCUUCAUAUUUAAUGUAAAGAGACAAGGCUUUCUCAUUGUUAAAAUGUUUUACUACAGAACCUUGUUGUCCAGUCUGAAGUGGAAGUACUUAUCCCUGAUUUUUGCAUGUAUGUCAAAGUUGUUGAUAUAUUUUGAGAUCAUCGAAUGAAGUCAUAUUACUUGGAAAAUAUAAGAAGAUGUGUUGGCUUUCAUACGACAUCCACGACUAAUGACCUUAGCUGUAAAUGUUCAUUAGUAGGUUCCCCAUCCUUCAAGCCCAAAACUGAGUUCACCAGCAAUGAAAGCUUAAGGAUGACAAGAUGGUCUACUGUGCUGUUUUAAGGUCAUUCUUCAGUGAUACCUCCCAUGGAAAAUCUCCCCUGAGUCCCCCAGGCUGAGCAGGAAUCUCUCUAUUCUGGCACUUACCACUGCCAGGGGCUACCAUGAUUGCUCCCGCAACAGCAUUAGUCAUGAAAACUCUCAUGGAAAGUUACUCCAUAGGACUGAAGAGCAAAAGGUUUCAACUGCAGAGAUGUCCAAGUUGAUGAUGAUACCUGAAGGAUUUCUACUGGAUGUGCCCAUGGGGACAAAGCCAGAAGUUUGACUCAGAAGUUUCAGCGAUGCGAAGAAAGGAAAUCAGGCUUAUAUACCAGGACCACACACAGGACCAUCCCACUGAAUUUGACCGAACAGAUAUUUAUUGGACACCUAUUGUAUUGAUGCCAGUUUCUGGACUACUCACUCAGAAUUCAGCAGUGAACUAGAUGGUCUCUACCCUUAAAUGCUCUACAACCUAUUGGUACCUAACAUGGAUGGGUGGAAAUAAGCUAUGGAAUGGCCAAGAGGCAAGCAUCUGAGAACAUGGAGCAAAAUGAUUCUGUAUGUGCCAGAAUUUCAACUUCCUCAUUCUGGGAAUCUACAACGAGCUAAGCCCUUUAUCUUGAUGUGCUUUUCACCUUCCAACGUGAUCGUGAGACCUCCCCCGCCAUAUGCAACUGUGACUCCAAUAAACUUCUUUGUUUUGUAAAUGGCCCAGUCUAAG